rnacentral:rRNA from 1 species
AUAAUGGGUCAGCGACUUAUAUUCUGUAGCAAGGUUAACCGAAUAGGGGAGCCGAAGGGAAACCGAGUCUUAACUGGGCGUUAAGUUGCAGGGUAUAGACCCGAAACCCGGUGAUCUAGCCAUGGGCAGGUUGAAGGUUGGGUAACACUAACUGGAGGACCGAACCGACUAAUGUUGAAAAAUUAGCGGAUGACUUGUGGCUGGGGGUGAAAGGCCAAUCAAACCGGGAGAUAGCUGGUUCUCCCCGAAAGCUAUUUAGGUAGCGCCUCGUGAAUUCAUCUCCGGGGGUAGAGCACUGUUUCGGCAAGGGGGUCAUCCCGACUUACCAACCCGAUGCAAACUGCGAAUACCGGAGAAUGUUAUCACGGGAGACACACGGCGGGUGCUAACGUCCGUCGUGAAGAGGGAAACAACCCAGACCGCCAGCUAAGGUCCCAAAGUCAUGGUUAAGUGGGAAACGAUGUGGGAAGGCCCAGACAGCCAGGAUGUUGGCUUAGAAGCAGCCAUCAUUUAAAGAAAGCGUAAUAGCUCACUGGUCGAGUCGGCCUGCGCGGAAGAUGUAACGGGGCUAAACCAUGCACCGAAGCUGCGGCAGCGACGCUUAUGCGUUGUUGGGUAGGGGAGCGUUCUGUAAGCCUGCGAAGGUGUGCUGUGAGGCAUGCUGGAGGUAUCAGAAGUGCGAAUGCUGACAUAAGUAACGAUAAAGCGGGUGAAAAGCCCGCUCGCCGGAAGACCAAGGGUUCCUGUCCAACGUUAAUCGGGGCAGGGUGAGUCGACCCCUAAGGCGAGGCCGAAAGGCGUAGUCGAUGGGAAACAGGUUAAUAUUCCUGUACUUGGUGUUACUGCGAAGGGGGGACGGAGAAGGCUAUGUUGGCCGGGCGACGGUUGUCCCGGUUUAAGCGUGUAGGCUGGUUUUCCAGGCAAAUCCGGAAAAUCAAGGCUGAGGCGUGAUGACGAGGCACUACGGUGCUGAAGCAACAAAUGCCCUGCUUCCAGGAAAAGCCUCUAAGCAUCAGGUAACAUCAAAUCGUACCCCAAACCGACACAGGUGGUCAGGUAGAGAAUACCAAGGCGCUUGAGAGAACUCGGGUGAAGGAACUAGGCAAAAUGGUGCCGUAACUUCGGGAGAAGGCACGCUGAUAUGUAGGUGAAGUCCCUCGCGGAUGGAGCUGAAAUCAGUCGAAGAUACCAGCUGGCUGCAACUGUUUAUUAAAAACACAGCACUGUGCAAACACGAAAGUGGACGUAUACGGUGUGACGCCUGCCCGGUGCCGGAAGGUUAAUUGAUGGGGUUAGCGCAAGCGAAGCUCUUGAUCGAAGCCCCGGUAAACGGCGGCCGUAACUAUAACGGUCCUAAGGUAGCGAAAUUCCUUGUCGGGUAAGUUCCGACCUGCACGAAUGGCGUAAUGAUGGCCAGGCUGUCUCCACCCGAGACUCAGUGAAAUUGAACUCGCUGUGAAGAUGCAGUGUACCCGCGGCAAGACGGAAAGACCCCGUGAACCUUUACUAUAGCUUGACACUGAACAUUGAGCCUUGAUGUGUAGGAUAGGUGGGAGGCUUGGAAGUGUGGACGCCAGUCUGCAUGGAGCCGACCUUGAAAUACCACCCUUUAAUGUUUGAUGUUCUAACGUUGACCCGU